AAAACAAGUGAUUACGAAGCACCAAAUAGCUUCUCUACACGGAGGACUCAAACACUCGGGACGUUAGUGAUGCGGCCGAUGGGCAGCUGCCCGCCACUGUCACUCGCCUCCCCCGUGGUCAUGCAGGGGAGGAUUAUUAUGGCCCAGCUCAGGUCUGAGUCAUAAGCAUUUUUUGUUUUUUUUGAGACAGGGUCUUGCUCUGUCAUGGAGGCUGGAAUGCAGUGGCGCAGUCUCGGCUCACUGCAGCCUCAACCUCCUGAGCUCAAGCAAUCCCCACACCUUAGCUGGGACCACAGGUGCAUACCACUGUGCUGGGCUAAUUUUUGUAUUUUUUAGAGACAGCAUUUUGCCAUGUUGCCCAGGCUGGUCUUCAACUACUGAGCUCAAGCAAUCUGCCUGCUUUAGCCUCCCAAAAGUGCUGGGAUUACAGGUGUGAGCCACUGUGCCCGGCCAGCAUCUUGUUGGCUGAGUUCUUCAGAUGGUUGGUAUGAGAUUUGGUUCCUGGGGCUUCGUGUGAGGGAAGCGGCCUCUGUGUGAAGUCUCCAUUCCUGCUUCCCUCUGGGAGACUGCCCUUAGCCGAAUCACACACACACUCAGGCACCCAUCACGGCAGUUCUGCUCCUCCAUUAGCUGUUUUCUUAGGUUCCCAGCAAAGACCCUGUUGGUUACCUGAGAUGCUCCCAGUCCACCUGAGGAGACAUUUACCUGGACACAAUCCCGUAGGGUGCAGACACAGUACCAUGGGAACUCCAGCAAAGAAGAGUUGCCCUCUCUGUUAUGUUUCAGUCCUGACUUAGGAAUUUCAUGAGGGGUCUCAGUUGUCAGUUCAGAAGGUGAGAAAGGAGGACCAGGAGAGCCAGAUAGCGCCCAUGAACUCUUCCCACCCUCGAGACUCUGUGCCAGUCAGAGGUCAAAGGUACACGCAGGCCACGUCUCAGAAUAUGAAAUCAUGGACGGAAGCCACACGUGGUCACCACUAAGCUUUCACUUGGCGUCGACCCCUCCCAUACCUCCGUACAGUGAGGGCGUCUCCAGCGCUGAUGGAGGCUAGCCAGCUGUGUGCCUGGAUUUGUUGGGUUCCGGGAUUAGCUGUGCAUGGUUGAGAAAGUACAGUCAUAAAGUUUUUCUUUUAUCUUUCAAAAAGGACAAAAAAGCUUACAUUUUGUCAGUAUCUUAGGAAAGGACGCUGAAGUAUGUUAGGAUGGGAAGGACAGCGCUCAAUGGCUCUUUGGUUAUAAAUUCAGAGGCUCAGCCUCAGAACUGGAGGCUCCCACCAGGGAGGACACACAGGAGUCCUCCGAGCCUCACAGCUGGCCCUGUGCGUGGCACUCGCAGAGGCUGGGGAAAGACUGGGCCUUGCCUGAAGCAGGAUCAUCACAGUUCCGUUCCCUGUGACUGUGGGAGUUAACAGUUGAGAAGGACCGGCCAUGGAGUCCCGGCUACUUGGGAGACUGAGGUGGGAGGACUGCUUGAGCCCAGAGGUUCAAGGCCAGCCUGGGCAACACAGACAGUGAAAAAAAAACAAAAAUGAAAACAAAACAAAUUGAAAAGGGAGUGAGGCCAUCCUUCGUAGAUGGAGUUCCUGAGAUGUAAAUUGGAGAUUGGAGUCCCUGGAUGCCACUGUUCAGGUUUCUGGGAAGCCAGUCAGCAGCCCUCACUGGUCCCGGGCUGGAUGCUGUGCCCCGGCCGCUUGGUUGGUCAGGGCCGGCGUCCCCUAGAACCUUCUGAGGGAGGGGAGCUUGCAGGACGGGGUGGGUGGAAACAGAGACUUCAGCUCCACAAGCCCUGCCUGUGCCCACUCCUGGCUGCACAGCUACCUGUGGAGCUGCCCGUGUGGGCUGUGAUUCCUUGGAGGGCUUGAGAGGGGCUGUUGUCAGUGGAGGUCCCAGGCUGGGUCUCCUUCCACACUGGGCUGGGAAGGAGGCUGUGUGGCUGAGUCGAGACGGAGGGUUUUAUAUCUAGAGAGAACACAUGCUGAAUAUCCACACAGAUACUGAGAUUGCCGAUGGAACUUGCACCUUUUGUAAGGUCAGUGAUCACAGUCCUGGCCGUCUCAUUUCUCUAAAAGAUAGUUUUCAGAAAAUGGCAAGUAUUAAAGCAAGUGUCUUCUCUACGUUUUCUAAGAUAAGUAUUGUAGAUUUUCUCUAUUUGUAUAAUGUCUUCAGCCUCAUCUCACCGACACUCCUUGGUUUCAAGCACUGUUACUAACCCCCAGACGUGACAGCCUACAGCAAAGGAGGAGAUCCGGGACUUUAAAAAGUCAGUAGUGUUCAGGAUUGACACUCCGGGGCCAUUUCAAUGGGAGGAAACAACCCCAACACAGCAGUGGCUUCUGAGAGUGCUCCCUGGCGCCUGCCCCUGUCCCACGGCCACCGUGAUGGUGCCAGGCCCUCUGCACAGGUGGGCUCACUGCAGCUGAGGGCUUGUGCCCGUCAUCCAGGGGUGUUUGUGUAGCCUUAGCCUCUCUGUGUCAACUAAUCAUGUUUGUAUUUUCUCCCCCUCACCUCAGGUUUCCUUAGGAAAUAAAGAAAGAAGCAAAGGUGUAUUCUACAAAGCACUUCAGAAUUGUCCUUGGGCAAAGGUAAGUGUUAAAGGCCAUGGCGUCUUCAGCUUCCCGAAGACUUCCCGCCAGGUCUCCGUCCAGCUAGUGUCUUCCCAGCCUGCCCCGCGGCACUGGGGAUGCUCGGCUCAUGGACGCCAUACCCUGUCCCAAGGUACAUCCAGAGCCUUUUCCUGGUGAAACUGUUCCCUGUGGAGUCAGAGCCUGGCCCUGCCUGGGGCUGGUGCUUCAUGGAAGUGUUGCUGUGGGUAGCUGGUUUCCCAGCAUUUGGUCAGAGUCCAGCCCAGAUGCUGAAAGAGUUGGGAUCAUGUCCCAGCCCAGCUGUGAGAGCCCAGGUCAGGUGACACUCAGAAGUGAAACUGAGGGUGAUGGCCAGCAAUUCCUGGACCCCUUUCAAAAGAGAAGGCCUCGCUUAGCGUUUGCUCACUUUUGCGAGUUCAGUGUCCUUCCUGAACAUGCCCAGUGCUGCCCGAGUUAAGAAAGUCUGAGCCAAGGGGAGCAGGGGCUGUGGAGGGCGACAGGAGGGCAGCGUCACCAGGAACCUGGCCCUUGCUUCCUGAGCUCCUCCAGGCUGACAGGAAGUGGCGGCUGAGUGGGGUGGCCUUCCUGCCUGCCCCUAGGUGUUGUACCUGGACGCCGUGGAGUACUUCCCCGAUGAGAUGCAGGAGAUCCUGGACCUAAUGACUGAGAAGGAGCUCCGGGUGCGCCUGCCACUGGAGGAGCUGGAGCUGCUGCUGGAGGAUUAGAGAGCAGCGGGGAAACGGGCUGUGGCUUCGAGGUCAAGUUGCCCGCCCUGCGGAGCUAGGAGGCACGAGUGGAGAACGUGUGUGUUAGGAGAACGCGGCUUUUGAAAUGUUCUUUCUCGAUAGUAAUAAUGUGGGCUGCCAGCCUCUCACAUCUUGCACGCUUUUUGGGUGUGUAAAUGACACAAAAGCUAUUUACAUAUUAUAUAUGUGAAUAUGUGUAUAUAUGUACAUAGCCAGAGAGUCAUACCAAGUGGUCAUUAAACCGACGAUGAUUGAGG
rnacentral:sRNA from 1 species